CACUUCGAAGUUUGGGUUUGCCGUGCUGCCGUACGGUGAUCACCCAGGAAAUAACGAUAAUCACAAGUUGUUUGGAACAACAACCGCGUUAUGGCUGCAGUCAACACGCAUUCCUGAUAAAAGACAAUAAAGAUAAAACAUGGUGCAUUGAUCCAAAUUCUGAGUGGCUCAAAGACAAAAUAGAGAAGGAAGAAUUGAACUGUCCUCCGGUGAUUAGUGAAUAAAGUAACAAUGAGACCAAAAAACAUCAGCGUAAAGAAGCUGCAGACAACA